rnacentral:rRNA from 1 species
CAGCAGCCACGGUAAUACGGAGGGCGCGAGCGUUACCCGGAUUUACUGGGCGUAAAGGGCGUGUAGGCGGCCUGGGGCGUCCCAUGUGAAAGGCCACGGCUCAACCGUGGAGGAGCGUGGGAUACGCUCAGGCUAGAGGGUGGGAGAGGGUGGUGGAAUUCCCGGAGUAGCGGUGAAAUGCGCAGAUACCGGGAGGAACGCCGAUGGCGAAGGCAGCCACCUGGUCCACUUCUGACGCUGAGGCGCGAAAGCGUGGGGAGCAAACCGGAUUAGAUACCCCGGUAGUCCCUGUCUCUUAUAC